CCUACGGGCGGCAGCAGUGAGGAAUAUUGGUCAAUGGGCGAGAGCCUGAACCAGCCAAGUCGCGUGAAGGAUGACGGCCCUACGGGUUGUAAACUUCUUUUGUCAGGGAGCAAUUGGGUCCACGCGUGGGCUUAGCGAGAGUACCUGAAGAAAAAGAAUCGGCUAACUCCGUGCCAGAAGCCGCGGUAAUACGAGGGAUGCGAGCGUUAUCCGGAUUUAUUGGGUUUAAAGGGUGCGUAGGCGGAAGUGCAAGUCAGCGGUAAAAAUUCGGGGUGCACCCCCGUCGUGCCGUUGAAACUGGUGGUCUUGAGUGGGCGAGAGGUGUGCGGAAUGCGUGGUGUAGCGGUGAAAUGCAUAGAUAUCACGCAGAACUCCGAUUGCGAAGGCAGCAUACCGGCGCCCAACUGACGCUGAAGCACGAAAGCGUGGGUAUCGAACAGGAUUAGAUACCCUAGUAGUC
rnacentral:rRNA from 1 species